CCGAUUGUAGCUCAGUUGGAAGAGCGAAGGACUGUAAUCUGUAGAUAUCCUUAGGUCCCUGGUUCGAUCCCGGGCAAUCGGA